CACCGGCAUCAGGCGACCCCGAGGACUGGAGGCCUGGUCUCCGGAGCACGCCGAGAUCGCGUAGCUUCUCCAGCAGAUCACCAUGAAGAUAACAGCUGAAUUGUGGUGUAAAGACGAUUUACUUUGGGGUGAUUUAUACUUCUGCCAGCGUGUAUCUGCUAACAUGUCAGGAUGUCAUGCAUGGACACUCCUCUCAUACAGGAUGAAGACUUCAUACAUUGGGUAAAAUGUUAGCGUCCUCUAGGGGGCAGUGAUGCAUGAACCACAUCGGAAUUGACUGAAUUACUCAGCAAAGACGAGCCAAAACCAAUGCGGACAUAAACCUAAUAAAUUCAGUUUGUAAUCAGAUAUCAGCUCUCAAAUGUCCACGAUGCUCCCACAUCAUCAAAACAGAGAAGAGCACGUACAGUGAUCACAGCACACAAAGUUUUAAAACGUUUAAAUGACCUAAUAAGUAGACAAUAACAAGAAGUCAACAGAACUGACUGAAUUGAUCUCAAUCCUUUCCUCAGUGAUGUUAGAAUGAUCAGAGAUCAGUCGAGGGAUCGAGAGACUGAUGUGCAUCAUUUCCCACUGUAAACUUGGAAUUCUUUCAAAUCUGGGAGUAAUACUGUAGAAUUGGUUAUAAAUGUAGAGAUUUUUGGAGGAUUUGCUUACCUGUCCACUCAGGAUAAUAUUAAAUCAGGUUAAUAUAAUAACUUGGGUAAUAUCUCAAUGACAAUAGCGUUAUUAAGGAUUCUUAAAAUAGUUUGUACUCAAUGCUUUUAGCGUUACAGAUUGAAUGCUAAUGAACACGGUGGUUUAAUGGUUAGUAUGUUUGCCUUGCACUUCCGGGUUUGGGGGUUCAAUUCCCUCCUCUGCCCUGUGUGCAUGGAGCUUGCAUGUUCUCCCCGCGCUUCAGGGGUUUCCUCCAGGUACUCUGGUUUCCUCCCCCUGACCAAAGACGUGUUGUAGGCUGAUGGGCAUUUCCAAAUUGUCCAUAGUGUGUGAAUGGUUGUGUAGGAUAACUAUCUGGUUCUACUCAAUAUUCUCAAGUCUUUAUUGUUAUUUUGUUGUUUUAUAUUCUCAAGUUUCCUUCUACAUUCAGAUUUUUCACAUUUCCUAAAUGGCUCCGGCUAAAUAAAUAAGAAAAAUCAAAGCUUGAGUGUGAGGGUAUGUGUGUGUAUCUAAAACAUUAUGUACAGUAUUUGCUCAUGCUAGACACUGCGCUAUAAAAUAUAGCAUUUUAAAAACACCUUUAUCUCUAAACCUAAAUUUAGCAUGUCUGCUGUAAUCCACGGGAGGCUAUGGGAUGUUUUGCCUCAGUCCUUCUCUUGCGCUGUGAUAAGGUAAUGGAUGCAGUAGGUCUUUCCUCCAGGCUGCUGCCUCAAUCUCAUUUUCUGAUUAGAAGCUCCUUCCUUCUAUCUGUCUGCUCUAUGGCUUGGAGCCUAAUUUAUGAGUGUGUAGUGCCAGCCAGAAUGGGACAGACCAGACUUUGGGGAGAACUGCAAUUUGUAUUGAUUUGGCUUUUGGAUGGAGAGAUGGAGGACGAAAGCAGGAGAGAAAAGGGAGGAAAAGAGGAAUGAAAGAUGGCUCGGCUCAACGAUGAAAAACCCAUCAGUCUUUGUUGGAGAAGGAAGCACCAAAGAUCAGACGAUGUAGAGAUGGU